rnacentral:rRNA from 1 species
AAGCUCGUAGUUGAAUUUCGGGAUUAGUACGUCGGUCGUACCUUAUGUACGUACUGGUGUUACUGGUUCCUACCUUCUGACGAACCAUCAUGUCAUUAAUUUGGUGUGGUGGGGAAUCAGGACUGUUACUUUGAAAAAAUUAGAGUGUUUAAAGCAGGCUCGCGCUUGAAUACAUUAGCAUGGAAUAAUGAAAUAGGACGUUGAUCCUAUUUUGUUGGUUUCUAGGAUUGACGUAAUGAUUAAUAGGGAUAGUUGGG